rnacentral:rRNA from 1 species
GAUGAACGCUGGCGGCGUGCCUAAUACAUGCAAGUCGAGCGAACGGACGAGAAGCUUGCUUCUCUGAUGUUAGCGGCGGACGGGUGAGUAACACGUGGAUAACCUACCUAUAAGACUGGGAUAACUUCGGGAAACCGGAGCUAAUACCGGAUGAUAUUUUGAACCGCAUGGUUCAAAAGUGAAAGACGGUAUUGCUGUCACUUAUAGAUGGAUCCGCGCUGCAUUAGCUAGUUGGUAAGGUAACGGCUUACCAAGGCAACGAUGCAUAGCCGACCUGAGAGGGUGAUCGGCCACACUGGAACUGAGACACGGUCCAGACUCCUACGGGAGGCAGCAGUAGGGAAUCUUCCGCAAUGGGCGAAAGCCUGACGGAGCAACGCCGCGUGAGUGAUGAAGGUCUUCGGAUCGUAAAACUCUGUUAUUAGGGAAGAACAUAUGUGUAAGUAACCGUGCACAUCUUGACGGUACCUAAUCAGAAAGCCACGGCUAACUACGUG